rnacentral:lncRNA from 1 species
ACAGCCCUGCGAUCUUCUAUAACAGUUUCGUCGUUUCUGUGGCAGCAAUGCUCGAGAAGAUUUCGUGUUUGCUGCUUGACAGGUGUAGUUGUUCAUAUGAGAAACUUGAGUCAUGAAAGUGAACCUGUAUAUUCUUGUGAUGGUGGCAACUGCCAAGUUCAUGCCGCCCUUGGCUUUAGCUUUGUUGUGUUAAUCAGAAGACAGAGUGACAAUAGACUAAAUAUUUUGCCUGAACUAUGGCGUUGUCCUAUGCAUCAUCUCCAGAUUGUGAUAUAGGAGUAUUUUACUUCCUGAGAGUGGUAUAGAUAUGCUGUUCGUGUAAUGACUGAAGCUGGUGUUCUGUUUUUUUUAUGAGAUCAUGUUUUUUUUGGCAAAUAAGCUGGGUUCAGUUUAGGACCCAUGCGCUACGUUGAGUUUUGAAGGGUGGACUGGAGGCCCAUGGACGGGGGGCUCUGGCGGUGGUGGGAGCUUGGUGUCUGAAUCCCUGGGAUGUCCUCUAUGUUCGCGAUACCUGGGAUUCGAACCUGCGACGAAGCGCUGAUGUGCCCUUGAGGAAAGCCAAUACUAUCGAAGUGCCCCUGCGGCAGAUAUGCAGAGCGAAACUUUUGUCAUGAAACUCGAGAGGUGUGGUUGUUCAUAUGAGAAACUUGAGUCAUGAACCUGUAUAUUCUGUGAUGGUGGCAACUGCCAAGUUCAUGCCGCCCUUGGCUUUAGCUUUGUUGUGUUAAUCAGAAGACAGAUUGACAAUAGACUAAAUAUUUUGCUUGAACAAUGGCGUCAUCCUAUGCAUCAUCUCCAGAUUGUGAUAUAGUACUUCCUGAGAGUGGUAUAGAGUAAUGACUGAAGCUGGUGUUCUGUUUUUUUUUUAAGAGAUCAUGUUUUUUUUUGGCAAAUAAGCCGGGAUCAGUUUAGGACCCAUGCGCUACAUUGAGUUUUGCAGGGUGGACUGGAGGCCCAUGGACGGGGGCUCUGGCGGUGGUGGGGGCUUGGUGUCCGAAUCCC